AAUUUUAAACGGUAGGGGAUGGCCUACCGUGGCAAUGACGGGUAACGGGGAAUUAGGGUUCGAUUCCGGAGAGGGAGCCUGAGAAACGGCUACCACAUCUAAGGAAGGCAGCAGGCGCGCAAAUUACCCAAUCCUAAUACAGGGAGGUAGUGACAAGAAAUAACAAUACAGGACUUUUUGGUUUUGUAAUUGGAAUGAGUUAAGUAUAAACCCCUUUACAAGUAUCAAUUGGAGGGCAA
rnacentral:rRNA from 1 species